UCCUUAUUCAAAGGCAAACCAUCCACUGAGCAGUUUUUUGCAUUUUUCCCAUUUAGCAAGAAAGUGAAUUCUGUGAAGAACAGAAGUAGUAUGGGUAUGGAGAUAGCACAACACAUCUUGGACAAAGGAGGACAGCACAGAGAGAAGAGUCUCCCCAAUGGAAACCACUAGAUGUUUUCAAAACAACAGUGAACCAGACAGAUCAUUAAGAAUGGGAAGUUUAGAGAACCUUUAGUGGGUUCUUUAAGGGUCCAGUGGUUUUGCCCUGUUGGAACCUCACCACAAACUUAACCAAAUAUCACUUUAUCCAUUCAAAUCUUUCAGGGGUCUAAAGCACAAUGCAAACAGUUUCUACUCAUUAUUUUUUUAGGGAUUGGCUCCUAUAAAGGAUGAUGAUUACCAUAGAAUUUUAAAUCCUAACAAUUAUAACCUCUCCCACAUCCCAACCAGCAAUCAGCUAUUCCAAACCAGGAAGGAAAAAUAGUAGACUAUGCUAAGAAAACCCAUAACUGAGAAGAUGGAUCACCACCUAAGCUUCUCAAUUCUCCUACAAAGGGAAGUCAGAACCUAUUGUAGGGAGCUGUUUGGCUUGUGUAAAGCUGGUUUUGUGGACUGUGAAUUAACUGAGACUCAAGGAUCUUCUUCUGCCCAGAUUGGGUGUAGACUGGCUACUAGUCAAUUAAAACCCUUCUCCCCACCACAUGAACCCAGACUCAGAGCUCUGACCCAAAGAAAUAGCACUCAGUCAUCUAACCAGAAAAUGAAAGCUGGUGGAGGCAAGUGCACAAGUCCACUGGUAGCCAACAACCCUCUGGGUACCUCACCUUCAUCUCUAUCCAAGGCUGAUCAAAGAGGACGAAAAUCCCAUCUUCUGCUAGAUAUUGAGUCUAUUGCAUACCAAAAAAUCUGUUAAGAUUCUUCAGAACCAGAUGAGUUGGUUUCUUACCCUAGCUGGGAACAAGCCCUCAGGAAUUUUAAGGCAUGCUUCCUCCUGCUCGUCUAAGAUUGCCAGCCUUGACUACAAAAGAAAUAAUUGACUCCUGUGACUGUUGGAUAGGCCUCUGAAUGGAGACAUCACAAGGAUUGAGAAUGCCAUGAAUUAUCAGGCCUACUUUACCUCCUGGCACUUUUGACCUCAUUCACCAUGUGGUGUAGUGAAAAAGGUCCUAGAUUUGGCAG
rnacentral:lncRNA from 1 species